rnacentral:rRNA from 1 species
AUUGAACGCUGGCGGCAGGCCUAACACAUGCAAGUCGAGCGGAUGAAGGGAGCUUGCUCCUGGAUUCAGCGGCGGACGGGUGAGUAAUGCCUAGGAAUCUGCCUGGUAGUGGGGGAUAACGUCCGGAAACGGGCGCUAAUACCGCAUACGUCCUGAGGGAGAAAGUGGGGGAGCUUCGGACCUCACGCUAUCAGAUGAGCCUAGGUCGGAUUAGCUAGUUGGUGGGGUAAGGGCCUACCAAGGCGACGAUCCGUAACUGGUCUGAGAGGAUGGUCAGUCACACUGGAGCUGAGACACGGUCCAGACUCCUACGGGAGGCAGCAGUGGGGAAUAUUGGACAAUGGGCGAAAGCCUGAUCCAGCCAGGCGGCGUGUGUGAAGAAGGUCUUCGGAUUGUAAAGCACGUUAAGUUGGGAGGAAGGGCAGUAAGUUAAUACCUUGCUGUUUUGACGUUACCAACAGAAUAAGCACCGGCUAACUUCGUG